UACGUAGGGUGCAAGCGUUAAUCGGAAUUACUGGGCGUAAAGCGUGCGCAGGCGGUUCGCUAAGACAGAUGUGAAAUCCCCGGGCUUAACCUGGGAACUGCAUUUGUGACUGGCGGGCUAGAGUAUGGCAGAGGGGGGGUAGAAUUCCACGUGUAGCAGUGAAAUGCGUAGAGAUGUGGAGGAAUACCGAUGGCGAAGGCAGCCCCCCUGGGCCAAUACUGACGCUCAUGCACGAAAGCGUGGGGAGCAAACAGG
rnacentral:rRNA from 1 species